rnacentral:tRNA from 1 species
GCUCACGUGGUGAAAUUGGUAGACACGCCAUCUUGAGGGGGUGGUGAGCUACGCUCGUGCUGGUUCGAAUCCAGUCGUGAGCA